GAUGAACGCUGGCGGCGUGCCUAAUACAUGCAAGUCGAGCGAACAGACGAGGAGCUUGCUCCUCUGACGUUAGCGGCGGACGGGUGAGUAACACGUGGAUAACCUACCUAUAAGACUGGGAUAACUUCGGGAAACCGGAGCUAAUACCGGAUAAUAUAUUGAACCGCAUGGUUCAAUAGUGAAAGACGGUUUUGCUGUCACUUAUAGAUGGAUCCGCGCCGCAUUAGCUAGUUGGUAAGGUAACGGCUUACCAAGGCGACGAUGCGUAGCCGACCUGAGAGGGUGAUCGGCCACACUGGAACUGAGACACGGUCCAGACUCCUACGGGAGGCAGCAGUAGGGAAUCUUCCGCAAUGGGCGAAAGCCUGACGGAGCAACGCCGCGUGAGUGAUGAAGGUCUUCGGAUCGUAAAACUCUGUUACUAGGGAAGAACAAAUGUGUAAGUAACUAUGCACGUCUUGACGGUACCUAAUCAGAAAGCCACGGCUAACUACGUG
rnacentral:rRNA from 1 species